rnacentral:rRNA from 1 species
GUGGGGAAUCUUAGACAAUGGGGGCAACCCUGAUCUAGCCAUGCCGCGUGAGUGAUGAAGGCCUUAGGGUUGUAAAGCUCUUUCAGCUGGGAAGAUAAUGACGGUACCAGCAGAAGAAGCCCCGGCUAACUCCGUGCCAGCAGCCGCGGUAAUACGGAGGGGGCUAGCGUUGUUCGGAAUUACUGGGCGUAAAGCGCACGUAGGCGGACUGGAAAGUUGGAGGUGAAAUCCCAGGGCUCAACCUUGGAACUGCCUUCAAAACUAUCAGUCUGGAGUUCGAGAGAGGUGAGUGGAAUUCCGAGUGUAGAGGUGAAAUUCGUAGAUAUUCGGAGGAACACCAGUGGCGAAGGCGGCUCACUGGCUCGAUACUGACGCUGAGGUGCGAAAGUGUGGGGAGCAAACAGG